GGCUCUGUAGCUCAGUUGGUAGAGCGUACGACUGAAAAUCGUGAGGUCAGCGGAUCGAUGCCGCUCGGAGCCACCA
rnacentral:tRNA from 5 species